rnacentral:rRNA from 1 species
CAGUCGCCACGGGAAUACGAAGGGUGCAAGCGUUACUCGGAAUUACUGGGCGUAAAGCGUGCGUAGGUGGUGGUUUAAGUCCGUUGUGAAAGCCCUGGGCUCAACCUGGGAAUUGCAGUGGAUACUGGGUCACUAGAGUGUGGUAGAGGAUAGUGGAAUUCCCGGUGUAGCAGUGAAAUGCGUAGAGAUCGGAAGGAACAUCUGUGGCGAAGGCGACUAUCUGGGCCAACACUGACACUGAGGCACGAAAGCGUGGGGAGCAAACAGGAUUAGAUACCCCUGUAGUCCCUGUCUCUUAUAC